UCCGGUUUGAAACCGGCGGUCACUCACAUGUCAAGCCCAGGUAAGGUUCUUCGCGUUGCGUCGAAUUAAACCACAUGCUCCGCUGCUUGUGCGGGCCCCCGUCAAUUCCUUUGAGUUUUAGCCUUGCGGCCGUACUCCCCAGGCGGGGUACUUAAUGCGUUAGCGUCGGCACAGGGGGAGUCGACACCCCCUACACCUAGUACCCAUCGUUUACGGCGUGGACUAC
rnacentral:misc_RNA from 1 species